GGAAGAUCUGUAAGGUAACUCGGGCAACGCUUUUUCAUUAACUCUCUUUUACUGUAUGGAUUGGAAAAAACUCGUUCGUGGCAAACGGUGAACGCUAAUUUAAGGUGUAUGGAUGCACAUAAGAGCCAAGUUUGAUGAGUGAAUCCGAUAAAGAAUGGAGAGGGAACAGCACAACAUUGUCGUCUUCAAUUUGUCGAAAAGAGAGCUGUUUACCACGAACAAUGGAUACAAGUCCAUGCACAAAAGACUACGAGCUCAAUGGAAAAGUGUUUAUGCAUGAAGGAAGAGCUGUCUUUGGAGAAGCUGAAGGGUGUCAAGUUGUGGAUAACUGCCGGCCCAAGGGAGAAGUUCACGGCAUCAGAGAGAGAUAAGUCGGGCUGCUGGCAAAGUGGUCACAGGAAUUAUUGAUGAUGAAAAUGUUGGAAACAAUGCACAGUCUUUCCACCAGCCUUAAGUGAUCUGCCUCCUCCCAUGCUGGACCUGUUCGAUCUAGAUGAGACAUUCUCUUCUGAGAAAGUGCGCCUAGCACAGUACAGACGAUGAUCUUGAAUUCUACGUGCGUAAAUGUGGUGAAAUUCUGGGGGUGACUCCAAAGUUGGAUAAAGAUCAGAGGGAUGCCAAGCACAUCUUGGAGCACAUUUUCUUUCAGGUUGUAGAGUUCAAGAAACUCAGUCAGGAGCAUGAUGCUGAUGCAGAAGCACCAUUCACGCUGAUGUGAUUGGAUUCAAGAAACAUGUUAGCAUUUUCAUCUCUGUCUUUUCAAUAUACUGAAGCUAAGCAGAUGUGAGUAUAUUCCUUCAGUAAAGGAGAAUGUAAAAGGGACCAUUACAGCUGUCGUGGAAGAUGCAGUAUCAGCAUGGGUACUGUUUGUUUAACAAACUGUAUAUACAAGAGAUGUGUUUUUAUAUCUUUCUAGAAUUCAUUUUGGAAGAAAAAGAAAAUGUACAAUACACUUAAGCAAAAAAGGUCAUUGAUACUUUUAUAAAUAAUCAAAUCUUUAAAAACAA